rnacentral:lncRNA from 1 species
AAUUUGAUACUCUCUUAAUUGAUUACAUGAGGCUGAGCCUCUUAUUUAUACUUUGGUAAAACCCUAGUUCCCUUGACACAUGUCAUCACCUUGUAGAGGGCUAAGAGCAUCAAAUUUGUUCCUUGUCUCUAUCACAUUGAUCGUACUGUUUCCUGAAGCUUCUUCUGCAAUUUGUUUGUUUUUGUCUUUUGUCAAUUGCAGAGAUUGCAGAGAUUGCAGAGGUUGCAGAGAU